GUGGAUCACCUGAGGUCAGGAGUUCGAGACCAGCCUGGCCAACAUGGUGAAAGUCUCUCUCUACUUAAAAAAUACAAAGUUAGCCAGGCUUGGUGGCACAUACCUGUAAUCCCAGCUAGUCGGGAGGCUGAGGCAAGAGAACUGAUUGAACCUGGGAGGCAGAGUUGCAGUGAGCCGAGAUCGGACCAUUGCACUCCAGCUUGGGCAACAAGAGCAAAACUCCAUCUCAAAAACAGAAAACAAAACAAAACAAAAAACCUAUCAAACUCCAGGAGUAUUAGGAAGAGUAAUCUGAGAUUCUGUCCCCGGUCUGAGGACCCAGGGAGCAUCUAGGAAUGGAGAAGCCAUUCUCUUUUCUGCUUCCCAAACAGGACAGGAAGUCAGUAAGUAGGAUGUGAGGACUNNNNNNNNNNNNNNNNNNNNNNNNNGUGAGGACUCCUGCCCACAAUGUUCCCAUAUGAUUAGCCUAAUUCCUUAUCUUCUCUUCUAUUUUCCAGAUAAACACGAUGAACUUGAAGCUCCCUCAAUGAAAACAGACACCAGAGCCAUCUUUGUCAGCAUCUUCAGCUGCAUCUCCAUCCUUCUCCUCUUCCUCGUCGUCAUUGUCAUCUACAGAUGCAGCCAGAACGGUUCAUCACCUGAAGAAUCCACCAACAGGUACAUGCUUGGCAUAGCUUAUGCUCCACCCAAUUCCCAUGUCAUUCUCCAGGGAACCCACUGGCACAUCCAGGAUUGGCGCCCUAAGCCCCUACUCCUGCCCAUUCUGUGACCUCCUGUCCCCUCCAUAGCCCUCACCCUCUCCCCACAAUCUUCACAGCCCAUCCUUUCACGUGUUUCUCUCGCCUAGAACCAGUCAUUCCAAACUUCCAGAACGAGAGGCUGCUGGUAAGGGAUAGGGGAAGUCAAGGGAAUAACUAGACAGAAAGACUAAGUUCUGGCCGGGCGCGGUGGCUCACGUCUGUAACUCCAACACUUUGGGAGGCUGAGGUGGGUGGAUCACGUGAGGUUGGGAGUUCAAGACCAGCGUGGCCAACAUGGAGAAACCCCAUCUCUACUGAAAAUACAAAAUUAGCUGGGCAUGGUGGUGCAUGCUUGUAAUCCCAGCUACUCGGGAGGCUGAGGCAGGAGAAUCACUUGAACGCAGGAGGCAGAGGUUGCAGUGAGCCAAGAUCGCGCCAUUGCACUACAGCCUGGGCAACAAGAGUGAAACUCCGUCUCAAAAAANNNNNNNNNNNNNNNNNNNNNNNNNCAGGCUGAUUCCCUGACCUGCUCUUCCUCUCUAGACACCAGAGCCAUCUUUGUCAGCAUCUUCAGCUGCAUCUCCAUCCUUCUCCUCUUCCUCGUAGUCAUCGUCAUCUACAGAUGCAGCCAGAACGGUGAGCUCAGAGAAUGCAAAGGGAGAGAGGGAGGGUGAAGCAUUUUCUCAGUAGGUAAAUUCCUCCUGCAUUUUUUGUAGGUUCAUCACCUGAAGAAUCCACCAAGAGGUACAUGCUUGGCAUAGCUUAUGCUCCACCCAAUUCCCAUGUCAUUCUCCAGGGAACCCACUGGCACAUCCAGGAUUGGUGCCCUAAGCCCCUACUCCUGCCCAUUCUGUGACCUCCUGUCCCCUGCAUAGCCCUCACCCUCUCCCCACAAUCUUCACAGCCCAUCCUUUCACGUGUUUCUCUCGCUUAGAACCAGUCAUUCCAAACUUCCAGAACGAGAGGCUGCUGGUAAGGGAUAGGGGAAGUCAAGGGGAUAACUAGACAGAAAGACUAAGUUCUGGCCGGGCGUGGUGGC
rnacentral:lncRNA from 1 species